GGGGCUAUGGUGAUCAUGUCAGGUAGAAGCAGCUGGAGACGGUGGUAGUAGAAGCGACAUAGAACGUCUAUCUUUAAACAACUAUUUUGUACCUUUAUUUCAAAUGUUUGCCAAACAUGCAAUGUUCGGGACCCAUGACAUUCUGUUGUACGUACCCUCUGGUUCAUGCAUCGAAUGGUUCGAGAUGGAUGGUGAUCCUUAUAUUUAGUUGGAUGAACUAUACCAACUCAUCCAAGAUGAAACCAUUCCACCUAAACUAAUUUUCUACUACUAAGUAAUGAACCAUAUGGUUCAAGAAAUCUG
rnacentral:lncRNA from 1 species